rnacentral:rRNA from 1 species
GACGAACGCUGGCGGCGUGCUUAACACAUGCAAGUCGAGCGGAAAGGCCCUUCGGGGUACUCGAGCGGCGAACGGGUGAGUAACACGUGAGUAACCUGCCCCUCGACUUCGGGAGUAAGCCUGGGAAACGUAGGGUCGUAAUACCGGAUAUGACACACGGUCGCAUGGCCUGUGUGUGGAAAGUCGGUGUUUAAUAGACACUGCUCGGUUGGGGA